rnacentral:rRNA from 1 species
AGCGAACGCUGGCGGCAGGCUUAACACAUGCAAGUCGAGCGGGCCCUUCGGGGUCAGCGGCAGACGGGUGAGUAACACGUGGGAACGUACCCUUUGGUUCGGAAUAACGCUGGGAAACUACCGCUAAUACCGGAUACGCCCUUUUGGGGAAAGGCUUGCUGCCGAAGGAUCGGCCCGCGUCUGAUUAGCUAGUUGGUGGGGUAAUGGCCUACCAAGGCGACGAUCAGUAGCUGGUCUGAGAGGAUGAUCAGCCACACUGGGACUGAGACACGGCCCAGACUCCUACGGGAGGCAGCAGUGGGGAAUAUUGGACAAUGGGCGCAAGCCUGAUCCAGCCAUGCCGCGUGAGUGAUGAAGGCCUUAGGGUUGUAAAGCUCUUUUGUCCGGGACGAUAAUGACGGUACCGGAAGAAUAAGCCCCGGCUAACUUCGUG